GGCCAUGCCUCUUCUUCCAGCAAAAUGGAUAAUAUAGACUUCAUUACUCUCCUUUUCUUCAUAUUAAUGCUAUGGAUGAAGAAUAUCAUCUUAAUACGAGCUUUCUCAUAUAGUCUCCUUUCAACCGAGUUUGACAGGGAAAUGGUUGCUGUUACCAUCAAUCCAGGGAGCAGGUAACUUUUGAACCAUCUUCUCUAUUAUUUAGAUAUUUUAAAAAUUAGAGGUGAAAUCAUAUGACAGACUCUGUUCACAUAGUUCUAAUUUCAGUUUACCAUUUCUUUCUGGUUUUUCUUAAUUCUUCCUUCUCCAAAAAAUAUAUAUUAAUGCAUUCCAAUUUUCAUAGUUCGCUCUUUACAAACUAUCACAGAUUACCGUAGCUGCAUAUCAUAAUGCGGUUCACCCUAAUUGUUGAUCGUAUUGCGAUUCGUCCUAACCGCAGAUCAUACUGCGGACAACACAGAAGCAAAACCAUGCACUUCUCGUAAACCAACCGCAGAUUCACCUAUGAUUGUCAGCACAACAUAGAAGCAAAACUAUGCACUCCUCGUAAACCAACCGCAGAUCCACCUGCGGUUGUCAGCAGUCGCAGAUCCAACUGCGGCGCCACCAUAUCCGCACUUCGUAGUGCGACGGCCAACAUCUUUCCUACUUCCAAUUCCAACACAGAAUAAGCAGCAAAAAUAAUGGCCAACAGCACACCCACAAGAUCAGCAACAUCAUACAAGCAUACUAACAUAUAUUCCAUCAUAACACAUAUACUACAUCAACACGUGAAGAAAAGAGGAAGAAAGGAGGACAGCAGAGAGGAGAAACAAGAAGAUGGAUGUAGGGUUUCAGGUGAGAUGCAAC
rnacentral:lncRNA from 1 species